rnacentral:rRNA from 1 species
UACAUAUCAAUAAGCGGAGGAAAAAGAAAACCAACCCGGGAUUGCCCUAGUAACGGCGAGUGAAGCGGCAAGAGCUCAAAUUUGAAAGCUGGCUCCUUCGGGGUCCGCAUUGUAAUUUGCAGAGGAUGCUUCGGGAGCGGUCCCCAUCUAAGUGCCCUGGAACGGGCCGUCAUAGAGGGUGAGAAUCCCGUAUGGGAUGGGGUGCCCGCGCCCGUGUGAAGCUCCUUCGACGAGUCGAGUUGUUUGGGAAUGCAGCUCUAAUUGGGUGGUAAAUUUCAUCUAAAGCUAAAUAUUGGCCGGAGACCGAUAGCGCACAAGUAGAGUGAUCGAAAGAUGAAAAGCACUUUGAAAAGAGAGUUAAACAGCACGUGAAAUUGUUGAAAGGGAAGCGCUUGCGAUCAGACUCGCUCGCGGGGUUCAGCCGGCCUUCGGGCCGGUGUACUUCCCCGCGGGCGGGCCAGCGUCGGUUUGGGCGGCCGGUCAAAGGCCCCUGGAAUGUAACGCCUCUCGGGGCGUCUUAUAGCCAGGGGUGCCAUGCGGCCUGCCCGGACCGAGGAACGCGCUUCGGCUCGGACGCUGGCAUAAUGGUCGUAAGCGACCCGUCUUGAAACACGGACCAAGGAGUCUAACAUCUACGCGAGUGUUCGGGUGUCAAACCCGUGCGCGCAGUGAAAGCGAACGGAGGUGGGAACCCCUCGGGGUGCACCAUCGACCGAUCCUGAUGUCUUCGGAUGGAUUUGAGUAAGAGCGUAGCUGUUGGGACCCGAAAGAUGGUGAACUAUGCCUGAAUAGGGCGAAGCCAGAGGAAACUCUGGUGGAGGCUCGCAGCGGUUUCUGACGUGCAAAUCGAUCGUCAAAUUUGGGUAUAGGGGCGAAAGACUAAUCGA